AGAUUGUGGAGAUGAGAUAGUGAGAAUGUCGUCUGAAGGACAGCAAGGGAUCUGCAUUCCUUUGAUACUUAGUACCAUUGAUAAGAUCAACAGGAGAAAGGAUCGGUCCAAUUGAUGAUCUUAUUGAUCUGGGUUUUGUUUCUUGAUUCUGUUCCUUUGCUAUCUUGUACUAGAACAAUGAAAUGGUGUAUGGUACUUUACUUUACCCCCCAAAGAAAAUACAAAUGAGAUAGUAUGAUUUGUUUAUGGACGGAAGACAAGCAAAUAGGGUCUAAGGGAUGGUGGGUGGGUCCCACCUUUUGG
rnacentral:lncRNA from 1 species